rnacentral:rRNA from 1 species
AACAAAACGCUGGCGGCGUGCCUAACACAUGCAAGUCGUACGAGAAAGUCGGCUUCGGCCGAUGAGUACAGUGGCGCACGGGUGAGUAGCGCGUGGGUAAUCUGCCCCCCGGUCAGGAAUAACCCGCCGAAAGGCGGGCUAAUACCCGAUAACACUGACGCUCCGCGGAGCGUCUUUCAAAGGAGGCCUCUGUUUACAAGCUUUCGCCGGAGGAUGAGCCCGCGUACCAUUAGCUAGUUGGCAGGGGUAAUGGCCUACCAAGGCUGCGAUGGUUAGCUGGUCUGAGAGGAUGGUCCCCCAACUGGUACUGAGACACGGACCAGACUCCUACGGGAGGCAGCAGUGAGGAAUAUUGGUCAAUGGGCGAAGCCUGAACCAGCCAUGCCGCGUGCGGGAUGAAGGCCCUACGGGUUGUAAACCGCUUUUCCCCGGGAAGAACUAACCCGAUGAGUCGGGGAUGCCGGUACGGGGAUAAGGAUCGGCUAACUCCGUGCCAGCAGCCGCGGUAAGCUAGUCUACG